GCAAUGCGCGCGUUUGCGAGCACGAACGUGCUCCUGCUAGAGAAUAUUUCAUCGGGACGAGAAUGUGGGCAACCAAGGUCGCAUUGUCAGGUGGCUGGGACUUCUCCGAGUAAUUUUCGCGAUCAUCGAGGUAGUCAUUCGGGCAGACAUGAAGGAACGUUGCCGAUCUCGUUUCGUUCUCCAGCAGGCCUACGAUCAUCAUCGGUAUCGGCACCACCAGCAUCACCAGCAUCAUCGCCGUCAUCAUCGUCGAGCGUCGAUCCUACGGUGCAACGCGGUUGCGCCUUGCAUCCGAGGCUCGAACACCCGGUGACCGCAUCGACUCCCGGGAUGGACGGCAAAAAGAUUGUCCAAGCUACAACGGCAGUCGUAGCGGUAGGUAGCGGCCAGGUGCCCAACAAGAACACCGCUGCUGCAGGUUUGGCUGCUUCCGUGUCUGGAAUCCGACGACGAAGCGGACCCCAAGGAUUGCGAUCACCCGCUGCGAAAAGACCCCUGUCGGCACCGGUCCACCUACAAGGCUGGCUACACAAGCAAGGUUCGGAAGGGCUCAUGCUUUGGAAGAAACGCUGGUUCGUCUUGUCCGAGUAUUGUCUCUUCUACUACAAAGGUCCAGAAGAAGAGAAACUCCUGGGGUCGAUACUCUUGCCUUCGUAUAGGGUUACCGUUUGCAGACCCGAAGACAAGGUCAACAGGAAGUUCGCUUUCAAGGCUGAACACGCGAACAUGAGGACCUACCACUUUGCAGCUGAGAAUCGUGAAAGCAUGAAUCAAUGGGUAAACGCGUUAACUCUGGCGACCCUUCUGCAGGAUCCCAGUCCCGGAAGGGGCGAGGCUGCGGAGGACAUCGAAAUAGGAGGACAACCGGAUGGGGAACGAAGCGCCAGGCCAAGCGUCUCUUCGAUCUCAUCCGUAUUGAAUCAAAGUGCCGACGACAGCGACUCGGGUUUUCACGGAUUUCUCUCGAGGGACGAUCCUAGUCACGCGUCUAACAACAAUUCCAGUCCUAACAGCGUCAACACUGCCUCCUUUCCUAAUCUUAGCGGGAGCAACGGUAACGGAAAUGCCGCUUCUUCUAACAACAACAACAAUCUAAAAGAAGUUCAGCAAGUAGCCAAUGGUUGGCUGCAACAAUCACCUCAAUAUGGUCAAUCCAGUUCGUCGCAACAUCAACAUCCGCAAUACUGUUUCACCGAGCAUUCCGUUUCUCAGCAACUUCAACAGGGUCACUCUCAUCAGCAUCAAGCGAUGUUGCAUCAAGCACAUCAAAAUGUCUCUCAGGUUUAUCAACACAAGCAGCAGCAGCAGCAGCAGCAGCAACAGCAGCAGCAACAACAACCACAAACGCAUCCUGGUCUGAUGUACGUGCAAGCGGGUCAAUCGACGCCUAGAAAAUUUGGUCAGCCUAUAUACGCGAAUGCACCGCCGAAACCUAGGAGGUUAACCGACGGAUCCAACGAGUAUUCCACACCCUCGCCCGAGCCAGUUUUUCGAAGAUCUCCAGUCUCGCCAGACGUUACCUUAACUAGCAAAAGUCCUAUAUCCGAUUACGAUAGGAACAGCGUUAUUUAUGCCACUGGAAUGAGUCAGCCGUCGCAACAGAGCUUAAGGACGGACAAGUCUGGUCUAAAUUAUGGUUAUUGUCAAGGACAAUCGACCGAAAGACGUACGCCGGACACUUAUGGAAGAAGCGCGAAGCCUUCCAGACCAAACCGAGGAAACGGUGACUACGAAGAAGUCUAUGGUAUACCUCAACUUUAUCAGAGACCAGCUGGACCAGUCAUUGGAUACACCAAAGCAACUGCACCAGCACCUAUACCUAUUCCCACGUAUGCUCAACAUCAGCAAAUGCAACAGCAGCAACAACUUCAUUCGCCAGUCACGUCACCCAAUGUUCCCAUAAUAAGACAACCGAUAGCUCACCAACUACCACCACCGCGACCCCACAGUGCCGAUUUUCUCGAGUACGAAGCAACGAGACGACCUCAGCAACAAAACCCCGUGCAAAGCGAAGGUUCCUCGAGCCAACAAAAACGGCCUCAAAGGCCUAAGUCCAGUUUGGAUAUAAUGAAUCCAUCGGAUGCGACCAACGACGGCUAUUAUUAUUCCGAAGAAAGAUACGCAGCGCAAAUGCGUCAAUCCGCUGUUUAUCUACAUCAAACUCCUCAACAUCAUCAACAACAAAGAAACCAGUCGUUAUCGCGAGCCACCAUGCCGUCAAAAUUACCAUCGGUUAACGAUAGAAACAACGGUGAUAUCAGAAUGGCCACUUUACCCGAUUCCUCUUGUUCUACCUUGAGACGUUUGCAACGGGAACAUGCUCAUCAAUAUCAACAUCAACAUAACAUAUCUACUCAAACAUUGCAAAGACAUAACGAAUUGUCCAACAACGAUGCCAAGUUGAGAAGAUCCUUACGGGAAAAAGUUUACGAAUCGUGUUCUCGCAACUCGAUGACGCGGGAAUACGAAUCGUCGACGAAUUGGAACAAAUCUGUCUGUCACUCGAAUUAUGGUCUUACCAUGAUACAAUCCGCGUGUCAAUCGGCACACAGUGGUGGACCUACCAAACGAUGGGCAGAACAGCAACAGCAACAGCAGCAAUUUUAUAGAUCAGCGUCGGCACGUUUGCCGAGAUCUCGACACCCUGGUGCUUUGGACGAGGACGAUGACGAUUACGGUGGACGAUCUUCCGUGGAACAGGACACUCGCGACGGUGAACGAAAAAUUCAACAGCGAGAAGAAUCGAUGAAACGUUUAUUGGAAUGGAAACAACGCAUGCUGCAGUCACCGUUAACGCGUAAACCAUCCGGAUCGAUGAACCGUACCAGAGCUCAAAACGAGUUAUCGAAUUAUUAUAAACAGCAAGCACUCUUGGACCUGGCAGCUCACGAAGCUUCGGUAACGGAAGCUUCGCGUCAUUCGCGGAGAAAAGAAGACGGCCACAGGUCACAUAUCAGAAGCAAAAGUUCCGAUGGUCGCAGAACUGUUACUUCCGUCUCACGAUACAACAGUUAUUCGAGCGACGACGAAGAGAUGGGAGAUGUUAGAAGAAAACGUACGCGCAGGCCCUCGCAUGCAGGAAGGAGCCCCCGACAUGUCGGCGACGAUCGUUUAUCAACGGCAACAACUUCCCAAGAGAAUAGCAAGAUGAUGAUACAAGGAAGCGUACGUACGAACGUUCCAGCUAAUUCAUCGACGACGCAAUUAGUUCGAUCUAACAACGAUACAAACUUAACGACUAAUCUUCUAUCUUCUUCCAUCAAGAGCAAUUUGUCGAGCAUACCACCCGACGCGGGCUACGAAGAGGUUAGUUUUUCCCCUUCCGACUCGUACUUCGUCGUCGGCUCGGAAAAUAUCAAAUGCGAUAGAAAUGCCGAGCAUGAUCUAGAAAGUAGCACGCUAUUCAACGAACCUAGACACAAGCAUCAGAACCCGUUGCCGAAGAAACCGGCAGGUAUAUUAAAGUCAUCUAGCUUGUACGGCGUCGAGGAACAAUCAAUUACAAUGGACAACGUUGAAACUGGUUAUCCGAACGAUUACGUUCCUACCGAAACCUGGUCUUCCCUUCAGAAGACGGUUCAGUGGAAUUCCAAUGAAGAUAAGGAAGAAUGGGAUUCUAAUAUCGACGAGAGCAAACUUAUCAAGGAGUUUUCUUAUCAGUAUAUACAAGCUGAACAGCAAGCUUGUGGAAAAGUGGACGAGGGCUCGACGAAUAAAAUGGAAAGUACGAAUCUCGUUCGGUCUAGGAUAAGAUCGUUCGAAUCUAACGUGGAAAGCGACGAAAGUCCGGUGAAAGAAAUGUUGACCAUGCAAGAAGCAUUGAAAGCAUCGCCGGUCGAAACAUCAGAGGCACACGUUUCGAGGUUAGACUCGUCGAGAAAGAUAUCUUCGAUUAUUCGCAGUUUUGCUUUAGGAGAGAAAGGAAUCGAAGAUGAGUCUAAUAUCUCACCCGCGAAGAACGGUGAACACGUCAAGCAAGCUUCCACCGAUAGUAAUAAGUCGGUUAAAGAUUUAUUGGCAGAUUUCGAAAGGAAGUCUCAACAGGUUCGUCAAUUGGAGGAACGCGACAAACGUUCGCAAGUUUUACAUCGUGGGGUUUUCAGCGAUACGGAAACGUUACUUUACGACACCGGGAGCGAUUUCGAACAGCGGGAUAAGAGCGAGGAAAGAACCGAACAAACGUUGGAAACCAAAGUGGAAACUUAUUUGGGCACGAUGAGGAAGAAGAAGGGGGCACAGGGGAGACAGAAGAGAAGCAGCAAAUCCCCGUGCGAUUCCGAGUUGAGCCAAGAAUUUAUCAUCCAAGAUGGAAAUUCGAGCACUAGCGCGAAUCAGUUACCCAAGCAACAGGAAGAUCCAACACCCGAAGAACAUUACCUCCCGAUGUCACCUAGAAAAGCCAUUCUGGAUCCGAACGACGAUGACAGUCCUAAUCCGAAAAUGAUGGAGAGUCUGUUCGCGAAUCUAGAACACGAGGAGAGUUCGUACGUCGAGAUGGCGCAGAACAAUGGGAAUCAUUCGUUGUUGGCUCCGGGCAAGGAAUCGAACGAUCGCGAUUCCGGCGAUUACUCGACAUUGGACGCUUCCCAUUACGAGUUCGUUUGCGUUUCCGACAGCAAGAUGGAGCCCGUUUACAUGGAGGUUAGCCAGUUAUCGGAAAAGGAAGACAAAGAUGAUAAAGACGACGAGAAGACGUCGUCGAAAACGUCGAAACGAAGGAAGAACGAGGACUCGAGUGGACGCAUCUCGGGUAGAUCGGAUCUUCCGGAUAUUUUGACGGCCCUGAAAUCGGACAGUUCGGACGCCGACGACGAAUCGUCGAAGGAUUUCGAUUCGAUAGACGCCCCGAGACAUCCCAGAUUCAGCCUCUCCGAUACUUUCCGACCCGCGUCCUAUUAUUUAGGUGCGAGUCGUACCAUGAUCGCCGAAUUACACGAUUCCUCCGACAGCGAAUUAGUUUCCCCGCCACCCAUACCAACUUCCCCGCCACCUUUGGAAGAUCUGGACAGCUUGCAAGACUCGUUGGAAAUGAAAAAGGUAUCGCCACCUCGGGUGACCGUCAGGAAGGAAAACGUCUCGAGCGUGAACUCUCCGAAAUCAUGGAACAGCAGAUUGGAUCACGGAGACAGGGAUCAAAGAUCGCCCUCUAGAUUCUCAGAAAUUUCCGGAGAAAUAUCCGGUUCUACUUUCCGAGACAGUAGGAUAUCCUUGGAGAGUGCCAGCGGAAGCGAUUCGGUCUCGGUUGAACUCAGAAAUCCCGAAGAACAGGCAGCUAGGCAUAGAAAAUUGAAGAGGAGGCCGGUCAGCGACGAACUUUGCGAAGUUUUGGACAGUCUAGACGAAUUGGAAUCUCUCGGGAGUCGUUUCGAGGUCGAGGGUGGCGGGGACGGUGGCGGUGGUGGUACCAGUAUCGAUCUCGAUCGAUAUCUCGAAGAAUUGCAAGCCCGCGACGCGUUCAACGUCGACCUAUACGCCAAGGAUUUGAGUUACAACAGUAUUUACGGUUUCAACGAGAACAUGUUGGUGGUGGACAAACUGCAAAAGACGACUUGUCAAGAUCUAGCGAGGAAAAGGAGUAUCCUGAACUUUGGCCAACCUCUUCGUUACGAUACCAGAAACAAGAUCGGUUCGGCCAGUAGUUUGCCGUCUAUGAGAGUUUGCGACGUCCCACCGACCCCCUCCCAUCAGCACUCGCAAUCCUUCACGGGGGACGCUCAUUACGAGAAUAUUUCGAGUUUUUCACCAUUGAGACAUUCGCCUCGCGUUCGUUCGGACAGCGAACAAUUCUCCUCGCGGGAGGACGAAAACCGCGAAAGCACCGAUCUCAAUUCGAAUUUGUCGCCGACCGACAACAACAACCACUUGGCAUCGAAUCGUUAUCCCAACGCUUUGCUCAAUCGCAGGUCACCUUCGAACUCGGAUCAGAAAUCCCAAUCGUCGUCGUCGUACUUGUCGUUCUUAAACGGUUCCGAGCAACGCGUUCAAAGCGAUCAAACCGGGGCUCCGUAUUAUUACUCGGACCUUCGCGGUAGCUCGGGAAGCGCUCGCAAGGACAAACCGAUCGUUCACGGUGGUGGUCACGUCUCGAGACUACCCCAAUUAAAUAACCAAAGAGACGACGCCUCGGUGAUGAACAAGAGGAACGAUAUCGGUCGCAUAAUCAAUCCGAUAGCCAGGCCUAUGCCUAGACAAAUCCAAGUCGAAGAUAUCGACGAGGCUAGACGCAUAGCAGCCGAACUGAGGAAAACGACUUGUCGGUUGUUGGGCGACACCAAAGCGGAUUUGGUCGAUAAAAGAAAUUUCUACGAGGCCGACACUCUUCGUAGGGUCAAAUCGACCGAUCCUUUGCCGGAAAUCAAUUCGAGAAAUCUUUAUCCUCACGGUUUACGGGAUAAAAGCGACGACAAUAACGGCAGGACUACGAACGCACCGAUCGACGAGCCGACCGAAGACUCGUCUCUCUUGGCUCAAGCUUCUCAUCGAAGAUCCAGAUCCCUGGAAGGACUUUUGGACGACGCCGGUCUUCAGGAUUUGGUCGAACAAAGAAAUCGUGCUAAUCGUUUGCUGGCCUUGUCGACCAGGCAAGCGAUCGAACGCAGCAGUGCGCUGAACUCGUCCGACCCCACGGAACAACAACGCUGUUCGCAAACUUUGGCCGGCAACGAUUUCAACGUCGUCGAUCCUUGGGAACAGGAUUCGCUUUGGCGGGAGAACCUUCGCAGAGCUAGCCUGCGAAACGCAAGAUCCUUGGACAACUUGGACAGCAGGGAAACCGGCUCGACGCCUGCCGGCUCGUCGUCUUCCUGUUCCGAUGGUAAAACUCGUCCGAGGAUCACCCGUAACGCGACUUACGUCAACGACAGCGUUGCCAUUCGCAAAGAAAAUUAUCCGUCCUCGACUUUGGAGAGGCCUAGGGUCAAACGAAGAAUCAACGAGGAGGACGCUUACGAUGCUUGGGAUUCGGGGACCAGGAACGAGCAGGUUUAUCCGAAAGAUAUUUCAACGGAUAUCGAGGAAGAGGACGGUCAGUUUUUGGUAGAACAACCCGAUAACGACCUUCCUACGACGACGGCUACCCCGGAAGGUUCCUCGAGUCGCGUAGCGAAUUCCGCCAGGAGUUCGACGUCCUUCGAAUUGGAUCGAGAAAAAUUGAGACAGUGGGAUCUACUCUCGAGCGCUUGCUUGCUCCAGGAACAACAACAAAAUUCUACAACGUCGAGAAUGACGACUACGACGACUGCGACAACGAUGACAACCGCCGAGUCGAAGAACGUAACUGGGACUCCUAACGUUUCGACUACCAACGCCAAUACCCUCCUCCCCCCUGGCACCCUCGCGGAAGCAUCGAUAAUGACGGAAACCGUAGAUAACGUCAAGGAUAGUCAUCGAAGUUCUGCGAUUCCCUCGGAGACCUCAUCGAAGAGGCGAGAAGCUAUCGAGACGAAAGACUCGCGUAACCGGGCUACAGCAUCCGGUUCUGGAUCGGUAAUAGGAAGAGAUCCGCUUCCACCUAGAGCAGUCAGUACGUCUCAUUUGGCCGAAAGGACUCUGACCCAACCACCAGCCGUGGAACCAACCUUAUCGUCGACUUUACCAUUACCACGAAGCACCGCUAAUCAUCGUCAACAGCAUCAACAUUUUCCUAUUCGUCAGUCGAGUCCGCAAGAGAAGCAACAAGACCAACAGCAAACGCUGCAACGACUGCAAACCACCACCGAAUCCUUAAUUUUACGAGCAUCCAGUAACGGAGAUAUCGGAACGAGUAUAGCACAAACUAACAACAAUGAGAUGAAGAAUUUGAAACUGUUAUCGCCGAAUAAUUAUCCGACUCAAAGGUUACACUCGUCCAGCGGACAUUUGAGAGUAAUCGAUUUGACCGAGCAUCGAAUUUCGAGCCCAAGCGAUAAUGAAAUUCAAGUUCACAGUCCAAUCGAAAGAAAAGGAAUCGGUGCGAUCGGUAUAGAAGUGGACCGUGCCGGAAGUGGUGGAAGCGGUGGUAGUGGUAACGAGAUCAACGUCAGAGGAAAUCGACGCGAACUACUUCACAAAAGGGGCAACGUUAGAAGAAUAGUUAGUGGUUCACCGACAGCGACAGCGACAGCGACGGCAACAACGACACCAGCAGCAGGUACGGCAGGUACGGCAACGUCAACGGCAACGUCUACGUCAACGUCAACGCCAACGACCACGCCGACGCCAACGCCAACGCCGACUCCAACGUUGACCCCAACCCUAACACCCACGCAAAUUGGAACAAACGAUCUCGUUCGAGUAUCCGCUGGCGAACUUCUCGGAAGGACACACGAAGAACUGGUUUUAUUGCUUAUUCAGCUGCGUAGACAAAACGCCACUUUUCUCAAGGCCAUGGACAAUUGUCACAUGGAAAUUGAGGCUCAGGCGAGAUUGGCCGAAUUGGACACACCGAGGCGUCUGGAAAAUCUUCAAAAACUCGAAGAGUUAAAGAGACACCUGAUGGAUCUUGAAAAACAGUACGAGAAAGGAAAACCUUUGGUAAACCUAGUCGACAACAUGGUGAAGCUUGGAUCCUUGUACAAUCGCAAUACUGCAAACGAAACUAACAACGUGACUGCUUCUCAUAACGAUUUAUUCCAAGAGAACGCGAAAAAUCAUCGGGAUCGUUUGGAAUUUAAUCAGAGAUUACAAGAACAACGUUUGCUUGCCGAAGAACGCAGAGAUUGGAAUAGACUCAGUCCGGAUCAUGGACAAUUGCAGGCAAAGGUACAACAGUUAUACAAACUUGAUCGAUUACUUCAAGAAGAAUCAGGUACCCUUCAUAGUCUUCAGCAAGACAAGGAAAUUCUAGAAAAAGCUCUGGGAGGUUUGCGACACAAAUUGCAAGGCAGCAGAAGUAACUUGAUUGAAGCGGAACGUUACAGAAAACAACAGCUUUUAUUGGAACGCGAAUUGAGCAGAGUCAGAGUACUGUUGGCGCACAAUUCUAAGGUAAAACCGGUAUUAUCAAAUCAGAAAUUGGAAGAAACAGUAGCGGAAAAUGCAAGACUGGAACAAGAUUUGGUAGUGUUAAGGCAAAAAUUGCAAGCUUCCAGAAGAUACGCUGGUAAUAUAACGAGAGACGCAUCGGGUACGACUGCCCCAUUGGAAACGGAAUUGAGAAGAGUUCAACAAUUGGUUGGCGAUCUUCAAAGACAAAGAAAAGAGCUAAGCGUUCAAGUUCAACAACUCACUGAAAAGUCUCAUAGUUUGGUACAGCAAAUUCGACCACAGUCAUCUCCAGCUCCGCCAGUUCAUCAUUCGAAGAAACGCACUCAGAACUCUUGGUUGGAGACUGAUUUAGAUUCUGGAAUCACUCUUGAUCACGGCCUUGGUUCGCCAGCCAGUCCAUCAUUGUUAUCCUCGACGCACGGGAAACAAAAUCUGGAAAGUCCUUAUCGUCGUUACGCGUCGCCAACGCAGCACAAGAAAUCAUCUUCGCCAAAUCGUCAACACGUCGAACAACAACCUCCUGUACAAAAUUCGCAUAAUCAUAUAUCGUCUUUGUCGCCGCAAUUACGGGAACAAAUUCAGCAACAUCAAUUGAAGCAACAAUUGUUGAAAGAUCAAAUGCAGGGAAAGGGUAGUUUGAUGCAGAUCAAUGUUUCCCCUUUGUACGUCAAUACCGAGUCCAGAAUGCAAGAUACUAACAAAAGCAACGAUAGUAUUACUAGCCAAACAAAUGGUGGAUCUAACCUCCCACCGGAAUACGUUCCACCACCUCCACUUCAUCCUCUCAACGAAGAAACUUCUUUGACGAACGAUAAUUACAGGCAAAAUGAAGAUAACAAAUUUGCAGGUUUGUUGCACAAUCGUGAAAAGCAAGAAAUAAAAACGGUCAGGAUCGUUAAACGGGAAUCCGAGAGACGUCAAAGAGAUCGAGGUGAUAGAAAUGGUAAUAUCGGGAUUCCAUUAACGAACGGAGGACUUCAGGCACCCGGUGGAGCAAAAAGAUUGUCCGACGAUGACAUAGCUGGUUCCCAGAAAUUCGAAAAAGCCCAAUUGGGUAAAGUCGUCGAAGAAGCACCAAUCGUUCAUGCUCAAAGUACCGUACAUUUGACCGAGCUCGACGACAUACAAUUCCAAAGAAGCAUGUCUCUACCUCGAGGAUUCGGUGGCCAACGACAUCAACCUGGUGUUCAUCAUAUUCCCGUUGCUCCACCACCCCGCAGCGAUAGCAUGCACGCUCUUAAAACUAUCAUGAUGCGAAGACACAAGGUCAAGUUUGAAAAUUACGACGGAAGCUCCGAUAGCACGUUAUCGCCGCACGUCGAUAGUCCUACGUCGAGUACGCAGUUGCCAAUUAGUUUGCCAAACUAUUCGAGUUCGCCUUAUAAUAAUCCAAGUCAUCAGAAUUAUUAUUCUGGACAAACUGCGAGAGGAUCGAAUCAACAACAACAACAACAACAACAACAACAACGAUACUAUUCGCCGCACCUGCAAUACGAAAAUUCAACGUUAAUUGCGAAGAGUUCGAUAGCACUGAGUCCGGAACCGGUGUCACCCAAUAACGGUGGUGACGUACCUUUAGACAGGCCGACAUUAGGGUCGAUAAUUAAUGCUAACAGCACGUCGGAAUCACCCCAAUUGUCUCCAGUGUUUAAAAGCGAAGCUGCCAAGCAGAUUAUCAAAGAGAUGACCGAGAGAAAAAUCGACGGUCCUAGAAGAAGGCAGGUUCCUAAAGAAAAGAGAAGACACUACACCGUUUCUAGUAGCAAACCCGUUCUAGAUCUCGAGGACAACUUCUCCAGGAUGGGUAUGGGUAGAGCAAGAGACGACUUGGACAUGGAACAAGCUCUCAGACCUAGAAUCAAUGCUCCGGAUGUCGUGAGAUCGACUUUAAGUCAUAAAGAAUUGAAAUAUAACGAGAGUACCAUCGAUCAACUGUUGGGUACACCAAAUAAGAUUGUCAUUCCAGAACGUUAUAUUCCCGAGCAGACCCCGGAAUUAACGGCAGAAGAACAAGAGCAACGUUUGAAGAAAGCAGAUGCUAUCAGAAAGAUGCUUUCCGAAACAACUGUCACUGCACCCGAGGGAACUGACGACAACGUCAAUCACGAUAAAUCCGACACGUUGAAAAGAAAAGUAGUCGAGGAGAAACGACAAAGAGAACACAUUCUUCAGCUCAAUCAAAUUCUUGCUAAACAAGUCAUGGAGAAGAGUAAAAUGGUAGCCGGUAACCAGGCGCACUGACAGACAUGCUUUCUCGAUUCUCCCACGUAGGACACGCGCACUCCUUCUUCACGUUUAUCGUUUUUCAGCUUAUUUACGUCGUCGAUCAUUCGUUGCUUCGAAAUAAUGAUGAUCGUUCUCACCGAUGAGAUACACUGACCGGAUCUUUUUAUCGUCGACAGUCAAAGCAUUGGCUACACUUCCGUUGAAGACUGAAUCGAGCAUGGACGAGGAAGAUCUAUCACCUGUGACACCGUUGCCAUUGUAUCAACAAAGGGAAAAUUAUUAUUCCUAAAUUUAAUCAUUCGGAAAAGGACAAACGACGAAUCAUUUUUUUAACUACGUCGAUUUACAAGAAAAA
rnacentral:misc_RNA from 1 species